rnacentral:rRNA from 1 species
GACGAACCGCACAAACGUUAUUCGGAAUCACUGGGCUUAAAGGGUGCGUAGGCGGUGCGGAAAGUUGGGUGUGAAAUCCCUCGGCUCAACCGAGGAACUGCGCCCAAAACUACCGUGCUUGAGGGAGACAGAGGUGAGUGGAACUUAGGGUGGAGCGGUGAAAUGCGUUGAUAUCCUAAGGAACACCAGUGGCGAAAGCGACUCACUGGGUCUCUUCUGACGCUGAGGCACGAAAGCUAGGGGAGCAAACGGG